rnacentral:lncRNA from 1 species
UAUUAUUAUUAAUAAACUUUACAAUACAUACUAUAAAAUGUGACAAAAAGAAAAGAAACAAAAAAAGAGAUGUAUCGAAGGCAAACACAGUAACAAGACUGGCCACCUAAAAUUACAUAAAAAACAUUUAGACACAAUUGAAACAAGGACAACAAAAA